UACGGAGGGUGCAAGCGUUGUUCGGAAUCACUGGGCGUAAAGCGCGUGUAGGCGGUCUGCUAAGUCUGAUGUGAAAGCCCGGGGCUCACCCUCGGAAGUGCAUUGGAAACUGGCAGACUGGAGUCCCGGAGAGGAGGGUGGAAUUCCUGGUGUAGCGGUGAAAUGCGUAGAUAUCAGGAGGAACACCGGUGGCGAAGGCGGCCCUCUGGACGGUGACUGACGAUGAGACGCGAAAGCGUGGGGAGCAAACAGG
rnacentral:rRNA from 1 species